rnacentral:rRNA from 1 species
AACGAACGCUGGCGGCAUGCCUAACACAUGCAAGUCGAACGAGACCUUCGGGUCUAGUGGCGCACGGGUGCGUAACGCGUGGGAACCUGCCCUUAGGUUCGGAAUAACUCCCCGAAAGGGGUGCUAAUACCGGAUAAUGUCUUCGGACCAAAGAUUUAUCGCCUUUGGAUGGGCCCGCGUUGGAUUAGCUAGUUGGUAGGGUAAACGCCUACCAAGGCGACGAUCCAUAGCUGGUCUGAGAGGAUGAUCAGCCACACUGGGACUGAGACACGGCCCAGACUCCUACGGGAGGCAGCAGUGGGGAAUAUUGGACAAUGGGCGGAAGCCUGAUCCAGCAAUGCCGCGUGAGUGAUGAAGGCAUUAGGGUUGUAAAGCUCUUUUACCCGGGAUGAUAAUGACAGUACCGGGAGAAUAAGCUCCGGCUAACUCCGUG